rnacentral:rRNA from 1 species
UACGUAGGGGGCAAGCGUUGUCCGGAUUUAUUGGGCGUAAAGAGCGUGUAGGCGGCCAGACAGGUCCGUUGUGAAAACUCGAGGCUCAACCUCGAGAGUGGUCGAUGGAAACCGUCUGGCUAGAGUCCGGAAGAGGAGUGUGGAAUUCCUGGUGUAGCGGUGAAAUGCGCAGAUAUCAGGAAGAACACCUAUGGCGAAGGCAGCACUCUGGGACGGUACUGACGCUGAGACGCGAAAGCGUGGGGGAGCGAACAGG